rnacentral:rRNA from 1 species
UACGGGGGGGGUAAGCGUUGUUCGGAAUUACUGGGCGUAAAGGGCUCGUAGGCGGCCUACUAAGUCGGACGUGAAAUCCCUCAGCUUAACUGGGGAACUGCGUCUGAUACUGGAUGGCUUGGAUUUGGGAGAGGGAUGCGGAAUUCCAGGUGUAGCGGUGAAAUGCGUAGAUAUCUGGAGGAACACCGGUGGCGAAGGCGGCAUCCUGGGCCGACAUUGACGCUGAGGAGCGAAAGCCAGGGGAGCAAACGGG